GAAGCUGGCGGCGUACUAACACAUGCAAGUCGAACGUGAAAAUCCCUUCGGGGAUGAGUAAAGUGGCAAACGGGUGAGUAACACGUGGAUAACCUACCCUUCAGUGGGGGAUAACCCUACGAAAGCGGGGCUAAUACCGCAUGAAGAGCCGCUAAAUAAUUAGUCGGCUUCAAAGCCUUCGGGCGCUGAAGGAGGGGUCCGCGGCCCAUUAGCUAGUUGGUGAGGUAAUGGCUCACCAAGGCUACGAUGGGUAGCCGGCCUGAGAGGGUGUACGGCCACACUGGAACUGAGACACGGUCCAGACUCCUACGGGAGGCAGCAGUGGGGAAUAUUGCGCAAUGGGCGAAAGCCUGACGCAGCGACGCCGCGUGGGUGAUGAAGUUCUUCGGAACGUAAAACCCUGUCAGGAGGGACGAAGAUCUGACGGUACCUCCAAAGGAAGCCCCGGCUAACUCCGUGCCAGCAGCCGCGGUAAUACGGGGGGGGCAAGCGUUGUUCGGAAUUACUGGGCGUAAAGGGCGCGUAGGCGGCUGAGCAGGUCCGGUGUGAAAUCCCUCGGCUCAACUGAGGAAUUGCGCUGGAAACCGCUUGGCUCGAGUACAGGAGAGGAGGGCGGAAUUCCCGGUGUAGCGGUGAAAUGCGUAGAUAUCGGGAAGAACACCGGUGGCGAAGGCGGCUCUCUGGACUGUAACUGACGCUGAGGCGCGAAAGCGUGGGGAGCGAACGGGAUUAGAUACCCCGGUAGUCCGCGCUGUAAACGUUGGGUACUUGGUGUUGGGGGUUUGAGUCCCUCAGUGCCGAAGCUAACGCAUUAAGUACCCCGCCUGGGGAGUACGGUCGCAAGGCUGAAACUCAAAUGAAUUGACGG
rnacentral:rRNA from 1 species